UACUAUUUUUAUUUUUGUAACAUUUUUUCCCUAAAUUUAACCAUUUCCCCUGCCAGAAUAAAGCUUCUUUUUGAUUUCUAAGUUUCUGCUUUAUUCAUGAGUGACAAAUUUGUAGUGUUCUUUUUUCUUGCAGGUAACAGUCAACUAAAGUGAUAUUUUGCAGCAAACCCUUGCAAGAGCACUGCCCGUGGAGGAAGCUUCCCCUCAAACUGUGAGAGGUUGGAGACCUACAGGAUUAAAUUCCAGGACUCAGGAUAAAUUCUCUCCAAGCAUGCACUAUCCAGCACCUUCCUUGCAAAAGAUUUCACUGGCUGGAGAGACACAUAUAAAUCCUUCUGAGUGAGACUCAGUAAGCAAAAGAUUACCC
rnacentral:lncRNA from 1 species